rnacentral:rRNA from 1 species
ACGUAGGGGGCGAGCGUUGUCCGGAGUUACUGGGCGUAAAGCGCACGCAGGCGGUCUGCGAAGUUUGGAGUGACAGUUGGUGGCUCAACCACCAAAGUGCUUUGAAAACUGACAGACUUGAGGGCUUCAGAGGGACACGGAAUUCCGGGUGGAGUGGUGAAAUGCGUAGAGAUCGGGAGGAACAUCUGUGGCGAAGGCGGCCACCUGGACUAGCACUGACACUGAGGCACGAAAGCGUGGGGAGCAAACAGGA